GUGCCAGCAGCCGCGGUAAUACGUAGGGUGCGAGCGUUGUCCGGAAUUACUGCCCGUAAAGAGCUCGUAGGCGGUAAGUCGCGUCGUCUGUGAUAUCCUCCAGCUUAACUGGCCCCGUGCAGGCGAUACGGGCAGACUUGAGUACUACAGCCCAGACUGGAAUUCCUGGUGUAGAGGUGUUAUGCGCAGAUAUCAGGAGGAACACCGGUGGCGAAGGCGGGUCUCUGGGCAGUAACUGACGCUGAGGCGCGAAAGCAUGGGUAGCGAACAGGAUUAGAUACCCUCGUAGUCC
rnacentral:rRNA from 1 species